rnacentral:rRNA from 1 species
GAUGAACGCUAGCGGGAGGCUUAAUACAUGCAAGUCGAGGGAGAAGUUUCGUCUUCGGAUGAAAUGGAAACCGGCGAACGGGUGAGUAACGCGUACACAACCUACCCUUAACAAGGGGAUAGCCCCGGGAAACUGGGAUUAAUACCCUAUAAUAUUGAUGUUCUGCAUAUUACGUCAAUUAAAGUUCAGGCGGUUAAGGAUGGGUGUGCGUCCCAUUAGCUUGUUGGUGAGGUAACGGCUCACCAAGGCCACGAUGGGUAGGGGGCGUGAGAGCGUGGACCCCCACACGGGUACUGAGACACGGACCCGACUCCUACGGGAGGCAGCAGUAAGGAAUAUUGGACAAUGGGCGCAAGCCUGAUCCAGCCAUCCCGCGUGCAGGAAGACGGCCCUACGGGUUGUAAACUGCUUUUGUCAGGGAAGAAACCCCUCGAUUUAUCGAGGGCUGACGGUACCUGAAGAAUAAGCACCGGCUAACUCCGUGCCAGCCGCCGCCGUAACAC